rnacentral:rRNA from 1 species
AUUGAACGCUGGCGGCAUGCCUUACACAUGCGAGUCGAACGGUAACAGGUCCUCGGAUGCUGACGAGUGGCGAACGGGUGAGUAAUACAUCGGAACGUGCCCGAUCGUGGGGGAUAACGAAGCGAAAGCUUUGCUAAUACCGCAUAAGAUCUACGGAUGAAAGCAGGGGACCGCAAGGCCUUGCGCGAACGGAGCGGCCGAUGGCAGAUUAGGUAGUUGGUGGGAUAAAAGCUUACCAAGCCGACGAUCUGUAGCUGGUCUGAGAGGACGUCCAGGCACACUGGGACUGAGACACGGCCCAGACUCCUACGGGAGGCAGCAGUGGGGAAUUUUGGACAAUGGGCGAAAGCCUGAUCCAGCCAUGCCGCGUGCAGGAUGAAGGCCUUCGGGUUGUAAACUGCUUUUGUACGGAACGAAAAGACUCUUUCUAAUAAAGAGGGUCCAUGACGGUACCGUAAGAAUAAGCACCGGCUAACUACGUGCCAGCAGCCGCAGUAAAAC